rnacentral:tRNA from 1 species
GCCCCCUUAGUUCAAUGGAUAGAAUAAACCCCUCCUAAGGGUUAGAUGUGAGUUCGAUUCUCGCAGGGGGUGCCA